rnacentral:tRNA from 1 species
ACCAGGAUGGCCGAGUGGUUAAUACAUUGGACUUAAGAUCCAAUGGACAUAUGUCUGCAGAGGUUCAAACCCCACUCCUGGUG